rnacentral:rRNA from 1 species
GAUGAACGCUGGCGGCGUGCCUAAUACAUGCAAGUCGAGCGAAUGGAUUAAGAGCUUGCUCUUAUGAAGUUAGCGGCGGACGGGUGAGUAACACGGGGGUAACCUGCCCAUAAGACUGGGAUAACUCCGGGAAACCGGGGCUAUACCGGAUAACAUUUUGAACCGCAUGGUUCGAAAUUGAAAGGCGGCUUCGGCUGUCACUUAUGGAUGGACCCGCGUCGCAUUAGCUAGUUGGUGAGGUAACGGCUCACCAAGGCAACGAUGCGUAGCCGACCUGAGAGGGUGAUCGGCCACACUGGGACUGAGAAACGGCCCAGACUCCUACGGGAGGCAGCAGUAGGGAAUCUUCCGCAAUGGACGAAAGUCUGACGGAGCAACGCCGCGUGAGUGAUGAAGGCUUUCGGGUCGUAAAACUCUGUUGUUAGGGAAGAACAAGUGCUAGUUGAAUAAGCUGGCACCUUGACGGUACCUAACCAGAAAGCCACGGCUAACUACGUGCCAGCAGCCGCCGCUG